CUACAUUAACCCACAAGUAGCAUCACAGCUAGAUAAGGUGUUCAAGAAAGCUUUCGGCACGUGGGCCUUCAUCAGUCAG